ACUUUUCAGCCGGGGGAGGAAGGCGUUGAGGCUCAUUAAUCCUUCAGCGAUUUGACGUUACGCAGCAGAAGAAGCACCGGCUAACUCCGUGCAGCAGCGCGGUAAUACGGAGGGUGCAAGCGUUAAUCGGAAUUACUGGGCGUAAAGCGCACGCAGGCGGUCUGUCAAGUCGGAUGUGAAAUCCCCGGGCUCAACCUGGGAACUGCAUUCGAAACUGGCAGGCUAGAGUCUUGUAGAGGGGGGUAGAAUUCCAGGUGUAGCGGUGAAAUGCGUAGAGAUCUGGAGGAAUACCGGUGGCGAAGGCGGCCCCCUGGACAAAGACUGACGCUCAGGUGCGAAAGCGUGGGGAGCAAACAGGAUUAGAUACCCUGGUAGUCCACGCCGUAAACGAUGUCGACUUGGAGGUUGUGCCCUUGAGGCGUGGCUUCCGGAGCUAACGCGUUAAGUCGACCGCCUGGGGAGUACGGCCGCAAGGUUAAAACUCAAAUGAAUUGACGGGGGCCCGCACAAGCGGUGGAGCAUGUGGUUUAAUUCGAUGCAACGCGAAGAACCUUACCUACUCUUGACAUCCAGAGAACUUUCCAGAGAUGGAUUGGUGCCUUCGGGAACUCUGAGACAGGUGCUGCAUGGCUGUCGUCAGCUCGUGUUGUGAAAUGUUGGGUUAAGUCCCGCAACGAGCGCAACCCUUAUCCUUUGUUGCCAGCGGUUCGGCCGGGAACUCAAAGGAGACUGCCAGUGAUAAACUGGAGGAAGGUGGGGAUGACGUCAAGUCAUCAUGGCCCUUACGAGUAGGGCUACACACGUGCUACAAUGGCGCAUACAAAGAGAAGCGACCUCGCGAGAGCAAGCGGACCUCAUAAAGUGCGUCGUAGUCCGGAUUGGAGUCUGCAACUCGACUCCAUGAAGUCGGAAUCGCUAGUAAUCGUAGAUCAGAAUGCUACGGUGAAUACGUUCCCGGGCCUUGUACACACCGCCCGUCACACCAUGGGAGUGGGUUGCAAAAGAAGUAGGUAGCUUAACCUUCGGGAGGGCGCUUUCCACAGUGGUUUCCGAGGGGUC
rnacentral:rRNA from 1 species